rnacentral:rRNA from 1 species
GGCUUUAAAAGUAGUAGUAGCAGCACGACAUAAAUGUAGCUAGUACCCCAACAGUGUAUUCGUGUUCGACGUUCCUUGUGUUGUUGGGAUUCGUUGAUCAUGAGGAUUAAACCCGGGGUCGUCGACUCCAUGUAGUGCCAGGAGCCGGAAGAGGCGAGCGGAGGAGAGGCGGCGACGCCUGCGCCUCCGGCCUUCGACGAACCACGGGACGCUCCGCGGCGGCGCCUGCAACCGGAACCGCCGGGCCACCUACCUGGAGUCCCGUAUCAAGGUCGCCGUUUCGGGUCGGACCAGGAACUCCCGGAGGUGCCGCGGGUGUGAGUACCGGUGGUAGGUGCUUCGGAAGCGGCCUCGUCGGUAGAGAAGAUGAGGAGGAACAAGAACGACGCGGCGACCACUCCUAUGACUGAACACUAGGAUCAUCACCUGACUGAACGCUUCAACACCAUGAGUUUCUUGUCUCGGCUAAGAGUACUUGACAGAGUGACUUGACUAC